rnacentral:ncRNA from 2 species
UCCGUCGAGGGGCGCUGCGACCGUGGAUGCACGGCCAGGCUCGGCGGAACGACCCUGCAACGGCGCUCGAUGGUU